UGAGGGUAGCUCAGUCAGUAGAGCAUGAGACGCUUAAUCUCAGGGUUAUGGGUUUAAGCCUCAAAUUGGGCAAAA